rnacentral:rRNA from 1 species
UGGGGGACCUUCGGGCCUCAUGCCAUCAGAUGUGCCCAGAUGGGAUUAGCUAGUAGGUGGGGUAAUGGCUCACCUAGGCGACGAUCCCUAGCUGGUCUGAGAGGAUGACCAGCCACACUGGAACUGAGACACGGUCCAGACUCCUACGGGAGGCAGCAGUGGGGAAUAUUGCACAAUGGGCGCAAGCCUGAUGCAGCCAUGCCGCGUGUAUGAAGAAGGCCUUCGGGUUGUAAAGUACUUUCAGCGAGGAGGAAGGCGUUAAGGUUAAUAACCUUGGCGAUUGACGUUUCUCGCACAAAAAACACCGGCGAAAUCCGUGCCACCGGCCGCGGUAAAACGGGAGGGGGCGCAAGUUUUAAUCAAAUUUUGGGCGAAAAAGCGCACGCAGGCGGUCUGUCAAGUCGGAUGUGAAAUCCCCGGGCUCAAUGGGAACUGCUUUCGAAACUGGCGGGCUAGACUCUUGUAGAGGGGGGUAGAAUUCCGGGUGUAGCGGUGAAAUGCGUAGAGAUCUGGAGGAAUACCGGUGGCGAAGGCGGCCCCCUGGACAAAGACUGACGCUCAGGUGCGAAAGCGUGGGGAGCAAACAGGAUUAGAUACCCUGGUAGUCCACGCCGUAAACGAUGUCGACUUGGAGGUUGUGCCCUUGAGGCGUGGCUUCCGGAGCUAACGCGUUAAGUCGACCGCCUGGGGAGUACGGCCGCAAGGUUAAAACUCAAAUGAAUUGACGGGGGCCCGCACAAGCGGUGGAGCAUGUGGUUUAAUUCGAUGCAACGCGAAGAACCUUACCUACUCUUGACAUCCAGAGAACUUAGCAGAGAUGCUUUGGUGCCUUCGGGAACUCUGAGACAGGUGCUGCAUGGCUGUCGUCAGCUCGUGUUGUGAAAUGUUGGGUUAAGUCCCGCAACGAGCGCAACCCUUAUCCUUUGUUGCCAGCGGUCCGGCCGGGAACUCAAAGGAGACUGCCAGUGAUAAACUGGAGGAAGGUGGGGAUGACGUCAAGUCAUCAUGGCCCUUACGAGUAGGGCUACACACGUGCUACAAUGGCAUAUACAAAGAGAAGCGACCUCGCGAGAGCAAGCGGACCUCAUAAAGUAUGUCGUAGUCCGGAUUGGAGUCUGCAACUCGACUCCAUGAAGUCGGAAUCGCUAGUAAUCGUAGAUCAGAAUGCUACGGUGAAUACGUUCCCGGGCCUUGUACACACCGCCCGUCACA